ensembl:lncRNA
AUUUACAGGACUUUGAGUUUUGAAGAAAGGCUGCUGUGUUUUUGUUUCUGUAAUAUCUGAGGCACGUUCAGCUAUCUCUUGCUCGCUGGAGUUGUGUUUUAACACAGAUGUGUUAGUACUCCUAACCAUUAAGAAACCAAGUGUUUUAAAGCCACGGGGGGGGACCGUUUCUACUGAUGAUCGAUGAAACACUGCACGUUCUUCAAUGCUCUGCCUCGUCCGACCGCAGUGACCUCUGCCCAAGUGGAGGAACGCCUCUUGUCAAAGAUGGGAUCUGAAACAGAGAUUGUCUUCAACAAUUUGAGGCUUGUGUGGGCAAACAAUACCCUGACUUUUGCCUGUGGGCAGCACGAAGAAUGCUUCUGCUUCACACCAACACAUAGCCAAGAGGAGAC